CUUUUUAGCGGUGCCCAGCAACAGGACAAGGGGCAGUGGGCACAAACUGGAACACAG
rnacentral:miRNA from 7 species